CGGUGUUUAACUGGCGUGAUGUGGGACGUCCUACCGGUGGGCUUAGCCUCGCGAGGGGCGGCCCAACUAAUAUCCCGUCGCGGUGCUCUUUACUGAGUGUCGAGUCGGGCCGGUACGUUUACUUUGAACAAAUUAGAGUGCUUAAAGCAGGCUAUCCUCGCCUGAAUACUGCGUGCAUGGAAUAAUGGAAUAGGACCUCGGUUCUAUUUUGUUGGUUUUCGGAACCCCGAGGUAAUGAUUAAUAGGGACAGAUGGGGGCAUUCGUAUUGCGACGUUAGAGGUGAAAUUCUUGGAUCGUCGCAAGACGGACAGAAGCGAAAGCAUUUGCCAAAAAUGUUUUCAUUAAUCAAGAACGAAAGUUAGAGGUUCGAAGGCGAUCAUAUACCGCCCUAGUUCUAACCAUAAACGAUGCCAGCUAGCGAUCCGCCGAAGUUCCUCCGAUGACUCGGCGGGCAGCUUCCGGGAAACCAAAGCUUUUGGGUUCCGGGGGAAGUAUGGUUGCAAAGCUGAAACUUAAAGGAAUUGACGGAAGGGCACCACCAGGAGUGGAGCCUGCGGCUUAAUUUGACUCAACACGGGAAACCUCACCAGGCCCAGACACCGGAAGGAUUGACAGAUUGAUAGCUCUUUCUUGAUUCGGUGGGUGGUGGUGCAUGGCCGUUCUUAGUUGGUGGAGCGAUUUGUCUGGUUAAUUCCGAUAACGAACGAGACUCUAGCCUGCUAAAUAGGCGUACCUUAUGGUAUCGCGAAGGCCCCCGGCUUCGGCCGGUGGGUUUUUACUACCAACGUACAAACAAAUCUUCUUAGAGGGACAGGCGG
rnacentral:rRNA from 1 species